GUGGGGAAUAUUGGACAAUGGGCGAAAGCCUGAUCCAGCCAUGCCGCGUGUGUGAAGAAGGUCUUCGGAUUGUAAAGCACUUUAAGUUGGGAGGAAGGGCAGUAAGUUAAUACCUUGCUGUUUUGACGUUACCGACAGAAUAAGCACCGGCUAACUUCGUGCCAGCAGCCGCGGUAAUACGAAGGGUGCAAGCGUUAAUCGGAAUUACUGGGCGUAAAGCGCGCGUAGGUGGUUUUGUAAGUUGGAGGUGAAAUCCCCGGGCUCAACAUGGGAACUGCCUCCAAAACUGCAUGACUAGAGUACGGUAGAGGGUAGUGGAAUUUCCUGUGUAGCGGUGAAAUGCGUAGAUAUAGGAAGGAACACCAGUGGCGAAGGCGACUACCUGGACUGAUACUGACACUGAGGUGCGAAAGCGUGGGGAGCAAACAGGAUUAGAUACCCCGGUAGUCC
rnacentral:rRNA from 1 species